UUUCCGUAGGUGAACCUGCGGAAGGAUCAUUGCCGUGACCCUUAAACAAAACAGACCGCGAACGAGUCACCCGUGCCGCCGGGCUCCGGCCCGGCACGCUGCCCCCCCCGAACCUCCCGCGGGGAAGGGGGGGCCGCGAAAAAGAACCCACGGCGCCCCGGGCGCCAAGGAACACCAGUACUACCUCCUGCCCCGCGGAGCGGUCGGCCCGCCUUCCGCUCCCAGGGCAGCGGUUACACCUUAAUCGACACGACUCUCGGCAACGGAUAUCUCGGCUCUC
rnacentral:misc_RNA from 1 species